rnacentral:tRNA from 1 species
UAAGAAGUUAGUUAAAAUAUAAUAUAAGAUCGUCGUUUUUAUGUUGCUAAUUAAAGUUUAGUGCUUCUUA